rfam:Medicago truncatula strain A17 chromosome 1, whole genome shotgun sequence.
AUAUAAGCAAAUUUUACUUUUUAGGUUCAUUCAAUUAAUGAUGUAUGUGGUUCAUAAUAUGGACCACAUACAUCUUUAAUUCAAUGAACCUAAAAAGUAAAAUUUGCUUAUAU